GGUGGAGCAUGUGGUUUAAUUCGAAGCAACGCGAAGAACCUUACCUGCGCUUGACAUCCCUAUCGCGGAUUAGAGAGAUCUUUUCCUUCAGUUCGGCUGGAUAGGUGACAGGUGCUGCAUGGCUGUCGUCAGCUCGUGUCGUGAGAUGUUGGGUUAAGUCCCGUAACGAGCGCAACCCUUGUCCCUAGUUGCCAGCACUUCGGGUGGGAACUCUAGGGAGACUGCCGGUGACAAACCGGAGGAAGGUGGGGAUGACGUCAGGUCAUCAUGGCCCUUACGGCCAGGGCUACACACGUGCUACAAUGGUGCGCACAGAGGGCUGCAAACCCGCGAGGGGGAGCCAAUCUCACAAAACGCAUCGUAGUCCGGAUCGCAGUCUGCAACUCGACUGCGUGAAGUCGGAAUCGCUAGUAAUCGUGAAUCAGAAUGUCACGGUGAAUACGUUCCCGGGCCUUGUACACACCGCCCGUCACACCAUGGGAGUGGAUUGCACCAGAAGUAGUUAGUCUAACCUUCGGGAGGACGAUUACCACGGUGUGGUUCAUGACUGGGGUGAAGUCGUAACAAGGUAGCCGUAGGGGAACCUGCGGCUGGAUCACCUCCUU
rnacentral:rRNA from 1 species